AUUGAACGCUGGCGGCAUGCCUUACACAUGCAAGUCGAACGGCAGCACGGGAGCAAUCCUGGUGGCGAGUGGCGAACGGGUGAGUAAUAUAUCGGAACGUGCCCAGUCGUGGGGGAUAACGCAGCGAAAGCUGUGCUAAUACCGCAUACGAUCUAAGGAUGAAAGCGGGGGAUCGCAAGACCUCGCGCGAUUGGCGCGGCCGAUAUCAGAUUAGCUAGUUGGUGGGGUAAAGGCCCACCAAGGCGACGAUCUGUAGCUGGUCUGAGAGGACGACCAGCCACACUGGAACUGAGACACGGUCCAGACUCCUACGGGAGGCAGCAGUGGGGAAUUUUGGACAAUGGGCGCAAGCCUGAUCCAGCAAUGCCGCGUGCAGGAUGAAGGCCUUCGGGUUGUAAACUGCUUUUGUACGGAACGAAACGGCCCUUUCUAAUACAGGGGGCUAAUGACGGUACCGUAAGAAUAAGCACCGGCUAACUACGUGCCAGCCGCCGCCGUAAUAC
rnacentral:rRNA from 1 species